rnacentral:rRNA from 1 species
CCUACGGGUGGCAGCAGUGAGGAAUAUUGGUCAAUGGGCGGGAGCCUGAACCAGCCAAGCCGCGUGAGGGAAGAAGGUACAGCGUAUCGUAAACCUCUUUUGUCAGGGAACAAAGGCGGGGACUAGUCCCCGGAUGAGGGUACCUGAAGAAAAAGCAUCGGCUAACUCCGUGCCAGCAGCCGCGGUAAUACGGAGGAUGCGAGCGUUAUCCGGAUUUAUUGGGUUUAAAGGGUGCGCAGGCGGCCUGUUAAGUCAGCGGUAAAAGCCCGGGGCUCAACCCCGGCGAGCCGUUGAAACUGGCGGGCUAGAGUUGGAGAGAAGUAGGCGGAAUGCGUGGUGUAGCGGUGAAAUGCAUAGAUAUCACGCAGAACCCCGAUUGCGAAGGCAGCAUGCCGGCUUCCUACUGACGCUGAAGCACGAAAGCGUGGGGAUCGAACAGGAUUAGAUACCCUAGUAGUC